rnacentral:misc_RNA from 1 species
GCUUUUAUAUAGGCACUGGCUUCCUCUUCUGAAAGCUGUCCUCCUUCCACCAGGCCUUGUAUUAAGGUGUUGGCAUAUUCGUUGCAAGGGGCACACAAGGGAAGUUUCUUCGAUUUGAAGCUCUCAACAUCUGAAAGUGAGCAGGUAAUAGUCAGUAUAGGAAUAUCUUUCUCCUUUCCCAAGUACACUACAUUAUGGUACCACCCCUUC